GAGGGCAUAGCUCAGUGGUAGAGCGUGUGCUUAGCAUGCACAAGGUCCUGGGUUCAAUCCCCAGUACCUCCU
rfam:Camelus ferus unplaced genomic scaffold scaffold253, whole genome shotgun sequence.